rnacentral:rRNA from 1 species
GACAGAGGGUGCAAACGUUGUUCGGAAUUACUGGGCGUAAAGCGUGUGUAGGCGGCUCUGCAAGUCGGAUGUGAAAGCCCCGGGCUCAACCUGGGAAGUGCACUCGAAACUGCAAAGCUUGAGUAUCGGAGAGGUUGGUAGAAUUCUCGGUGGAGAGGUGAAAUUCGUAGAUAUCGAGGGGAAUACCAGUGGCGAAGGCGGCCAACUGGACGAAUACUGACGCUGAGACACGAAAGCGUGGGGAGCAAACAGG